rnacentral:rRNA from 1 species
AGAGUUUGAUCCUGGCUCAGAACGAACGCUGGCGGCAUGCCUUACACAUGCAAGUCGAACGGCAGCACGGGUGCUUGCACCUGGUGGCGAGUGGCGAACGGGUGAGUAGUGCAUCGGAACGUACCCGUAGUGGGGGAUAACUACCCGAAAGGGUGGCUAAUACCGCAUAUACUGUGCGCAGGAAAGCAGGGGACCGUAAGGCCUUGUGCUACUGGAGCGGCCGAUGUCAGAUUAGCUAGUUGGUGGGGUAAAGGCCUACCAAGGCGACGAUCUGUAGCGGGUCUGAGAGGAUGAUCCGCCACACUGGGACUGAGACACGGCCCAGACUCCUACGGGAGGCAGCAGUGGGGAAUUUUGGACAAUGGGGGCAACCCUGAUCCAGCCAUGCCGCGUGAGUGAAGAAGGCCUUCGGGUUGUAAAGCUCUUUCGGACGGAAAGAAAACGGAUGGGUUAAUACCCUGUUCGGAUGACGGUACCGUCAUAAGAAGCACCGGCUAACUACGUGCCAGCAGCCGCGGUAAUACGUAGGGUGCGAGCGUUAAUCGGAAUUACUGGGCGUAAAGCGUGCGCAGGCGGUUGAUUAAGACAGGCGUGAAAUCCCCGGGCUUAACCUGGGAACUGCGCUUGUGACUGGUCGGCUAGAGUACGGCAGAGGGGGGUGGAAUUCCACGUGUAGCAGUGAAAUGCGUAGAGAUGUGGAGGAACACCGAUGGCGAAGGCAGCCCCCUGGGCCGAUACUGACGCUCAUGCACGAAAGCGUGGGUAGCAAAC